rnacentral:lncRNA from 1 species
AAAAGCACGCUCCACGAGUUUCAAGACUUCCAACAAAUCAACUUCAUAACACAGCGAAAACAAAGAGUGCACAAAAUCAUGUAAGAGUGACUUUUGAACAGUGGAGCCGUUUAAACCGGGCGUAAUGUGUCAACCGCGAACAGAAAAUGUGGGCCCAUCCAGGCGCAGUGCAGAA